UCCCUCUUUGGAAGGGAGCUCUGUGAAAGCACAGUCCCCAGUCCUAUGAGUGGCCAGGGAGUGAACUAAUAUUUACCUGUAAUUUCCUGAGUUCUUUUUCACCUCCUCUUUCCUCCGAUAUUUAUUAAAGGUCAGUGGGAUAAGUAGGUAUGUAUUACGUGACCUCUGUUUUAUGUAUGGGAAACAAGGUGACGAGUCCAUAGUCACCCCAUCAGUUGAGUGAAGGAAAAGGGAAGUAAACAUAGACUGAACUCUUUGGACUUUAAUUCCAUUGCCCCUUUUUAAUCCCCCCCCCCUUUUUUUUCUUCUCUUUGACAGAAACUAAACCCUGGUAGGAAAAGGUUAAGAUCUCAAGGAAGACAAGACUUGGGCCAAGGCAGAUUGAGGGGAGAUGUCAAUACUCAGAGAAACCACAGCCACAGAAUUAUAAGGACUUGAAGGAAAGUUCCAUGUGCUGUGGCUACCUUCCUCAUGUUAUUGACAGUUCCCUGCCUGGGAAUCACCCUGAGGUCACUUAGAGCCUCUCUCUACCACCGGAUGUUAGGAG
rnacentral:lncRNA from 1 species